CAAUGCUGUGGGUCGAGCCGAGGUUUUAGUCUCCAUAUUACAGACAAUACCGGACAGGAGAUCAUCAAGUGUGUUCGAGAUUUUAAAUGCUGCGUCGGACUAUGCUGGCUGGCUAACUUUGAUGCAUGGGCCCAUGAAAUAGCUGUGGAGGCACCUGUAGGGACAGUUGUGGGAUAUGUACGACAAGAGCGGUCACUGUGGACUCCCCACUAUAGCAUCAGAGAUGCUAGCAGGGAAACUGUAUUUAACAUAAAGGGUCCUUGUUGUGUGGUGAAUGGAUGUUGUUGGGACCAAGAUUUUAUUGU